UACAGAGGUCCCGAGCGUUGUUCGGAUUCAUUGGGCGUAAAGGGUGCGUAGGCGGCGGGGCAAGUCUGAUGUGAAAUCCCGGGGCUCAACCCCGGAACUGCAUUGGAUACUGCCUUGCUUGAGUACUGGAGAGGGAACUGGAAUUUACGGUGUAGCAGUGAAAUGCGUAGAGAUCGUAAGGAACACCAGUGGCGAAGGCGGCUCACUGGACCGGAACUGACGCUGAGGCGCGAAAGCGUGGGGAGCAAACGGG
rnacentral:rRNA from 1 species